GGGUCAGUAGGUUGGUCGUGCCACCGGUACGUACUGGUCUCACUGAUCCCUCCUUCCUGAAGAACCGUAAUGCCAUUAAUUUGGCGUUGCGGGGAAACAGGACUGUUACUUUGAAAAAAUUAGAGUGUUUAAAGCAAGCUAACGCUUGAAUACAUUAGCAUGGAAUAAUGAAAUAGGACGAUCGAUCCUAUUUUGUUGGUUUCUAGGAUUGACGUA
rnacentral:rRNA from 1 species